UUUCCUUUUGCUAAUACACAAAAAUCAUCUUAUGUCUGCUUUUCUACCCACAGGUCCUCUGCUUGGGUCAGUCUCAGCAAAAGCAUGUAUCUUCAAAAAUAAAUAAUCACAGUUGUCAGUAAAUCUCCCAUGCUCAAAAUUUACAGCCUAUAAUUCAAUGUCAAUAUGAAUAACAUCCUAAGUCACCAAUAAUAAAGUUAUAGUCAUUCUCCUUCCUUCCUGCUAAAAUGUCUCCAAGACUAAUUUAGAGGCAAACUAAGAUCUCUUGAGUGUCUAUUUUAAGCUUCAUCAGGAUGAGGGAGAAAGGUAAUUCCAGAGCAAUAAAUCUUCCAUGGAAAGCACUCUACCUCUGGCUGCUUGAUAAUGAAUUUAAUCAGUCGGGAGAACAGCCCUGUCAUUACGGAUUAAUCACCAAAGGCUCUGUUUUGAGAGAGACAGAGACAGAGACAGAGACAGAGACUUGGGGCUCAAUCUCACAACCUAAGACCAUGACCUGAGCUGAAAUCAAGAGUCAGACACUCAACCGACUGAGCCACCUGGGCACCUCAGGACCAAUGAUACUCUUACCAAGAGAAUUAUUUGAAAGGGGGUCCAGGCCUUCACUGAAGAAGAUACUCCAAGAAAUUCUCCUGCUAGCCUUGAAUAAGCGAGCCACCAUGAAGUCUAUGGGUGCAAGGAAAAGAAUUCUGCCAACAACCACAUGAGCUCUGAAGAAUACCCCCAAGCACCAAAUAAGACCCCAGCCUUGGCCAACACCUCGUACUGCAGUCUUGUGAGACCCUGAGCAGAAGGCCCAGUUAAACUCUGCAAGGCCUUCUAACCC